GAUGAACGCUGGCGGUAUGCCUAACACAUGCAAGUCGAACGAGCUCUUCGGAGCUAGUGGCGGACGGGUGAGUAACGCGUGAGAAUCUGCCUUCAGGAUGGGGACAACAGUUGGAAACGAUUGCUAAAACCCAAUGGUCCGCAAGGUGAAAUAAUAAUAGCCUAAAGAGGAGCUCGCGUCCGAUUAGUUAGUUGGUGGGGUAAAGGCCUACCAAGGCAGCGAUCGGUAGCUGGUCUGAGAGGAUGAGCAGCCACACUGGGACUGAGACACGGCCCAGACUCCUACGGGAGGCAGCAGUGGGGAAUUUUCCGCAAUGGGCGAAAGCCUGACGGAGCAAUACCGCGUGAGGGAGGAAGGUUUUGGAUUGUAAACCUCUUUUGUUAAGGAAGAAGAAAGUGACGGUACUUAACGAAUAAGCAUCGGCUAACUCCGUGCCAGCAGCCGCAGUAA
rnacentral:rRNA from 1 species